AUGCGAUUCAUUAGAAGUAACGAGUUGACAUAAGGUAAAUCUACAUCGAGGGGGCCUUUCUUUGAGUGCGCGGGGAAGCUUCAUUAAGCAGCGCUAACAAGGCGUGCAAAUGCUCUGAUUGGGCAGCUUGCUCGGAACGCCGGGGCCUUAGCAGGAUGCCCACCUAAUGAGGGUCACCACAAGAGACUGAUAAAAUAUUCACAUUUUCCAUCGCACCGGGAACUUUGCACUGAAGGAGAAAGUUGGGGCAACUGCGCGGCUGUAUGCCCCAG
ensembl:misc_RNA